rnacentral:pre_miRNA from 1 species
UGAUUAUUAUUAUUCUGAUGCUGAUGAAGAUGAUGAUGAUUCAGAUGAUGAUGUGAUAUCGCAUCAUCAUCGACAUCUUCAUCACUAGACAUC